rnacentral:lncRNA from 10 species
AAAUUAGCGGGACGUGGUGGCGGACGCCUGUAGUCCCAGUUACUCGGGAGGCUGAGGCAGGAGAAUCGCUUGAACCCGGGAGGCAGUUACAGUGAGCAGAGACGGUGCCACUGCACUCCAGCCUGGGCUACAGAGUGAGACUCCAUCUCAAAAAAAAAAAAAAAAAGAAAGAAAACAAAAUUGUGAUGUUUCUGAUUGGUGGUCCAAACUUUCCUGAGAACCACUGCAUUGAACAAGGAGAUGAUCUGAGACAGGUGAAACCAGUGGAAUGAAUGUUUAAGAAACCUGCAAGCUUGGGAAAAAAGGCCAGCAACUUGGAAAGAUUAAUCAAAAGGAUAUUUGGGAAGCUUAUCACCUCCACCUCUUGUUUGGUUUGUUUGUUUGUUUGUUUGUUUGUUUGUUUGUUUGUUUUUGAGACAGAGUCUCGCUCUCUCGCCCAGGCUUGAGUGCAGUAACAUGAUCUAGGCUCACUGCAGCCUCUGCCUCCCGGGUUCAAGGAUUCUCCUGCCUCAGCCUCCAGAGUAGCUGGGACUACAGGCACAUGCCACUGUGCCAGACUAAUUUUUGUAUUUUUCUUUUCUUUUUUAGUAGAGACAGGGUUUCACCAUGUUGGACAAGCUGGUCUCAAACUCUUGACCUCAGGUGAUCUGCCCGCCUUGGCCUCCCAAAGUGCUAGAAUUACAGGCAUGAGCCACCAAGCCCAGCCUCUCCUCCACCUCGUAAGUGUUUUCAAAGUAAAGCCAGAAUCCUCAACUGCUUCUGCCCCCAUGAAAUCAUUACCCUUCAAUGAGCCAAUUCAAAUGCUGCUUCUUUUGUGAAGCUUUCUGCCACCACCCUUCCCUCCCAGAAUGUUGUACUUUCCCUGAUCUGCUUCAUAACACCUCCUUCCAAGCACACAUAGGAUUUCACGCAUCCUCUAGUAGCUAGGUGGUACAGGUCUGAUUUCCCAUCAGACUGUGAGCUUUUUGAGGGCAUUCAUAAUGACCUUCUUUUCUGUAGUGCCUACAAUUACAGCAGAAAAGCAGCACUCAAAAUGUUUGUUGAAGCUCUCCAGUGAACUGGGGUUCUAAUUAUUGAGUGAAGAACUUGACACUAAGUGGCUGUUGCCUGCAUUAUCCCAACCCAUCUCUGCAGAGAGAUGGGAGCAGCAGAGGGCGCUGUCACUGCAGGUGUAGGGGCAUUUUUCCUCUCCAUGACAUGCCAGAUGGCCCCCCGGGGCCACAGCUCCACCGUAAGAGUCCCCAAUUUUGUUUUGUUUUUUUACAGUGAGGGUGUUCUAGAGGAAAGGGCUCAACGAAUCCAAUUGCAAUAGCUCCAGUUUGUGAUAAAGAUGACAAUUUUUUUUUAUUUGAGACAGAGUCUGGUUCUGUUGCCCAGGCUGGAGUGCAGUGGCACAGUGUUGACUCACUGCCACCUCCACCCCCGGGGAUUCAAGCAAUUAUCGUGUCUCAGCCUCCCGAGUAGCUGGGAUUACAGACCCCAACCUCCAGCUAACUUUUGUAUUUUCACCAUGUUGGCAAGGCUGGUUUUGAACCCCUGAUCUCAAGUCAUCCUCCUGCCUCAGCCUCUCAAAGUGCUGGGAUUACAGGCAUGAGCCACGGUGCCUGGGCUGACAAAUAUUUAUUAUUGAGUUUGUGGAACCCAGAAUGAUCUAGGGCCUCAGUGGCCACUGAACCCUGGGGCACACUUGAACAAAAAUAUGGGCUUCUCAGCCACUAUGCCUUGACAUCCUCUCUAAUCAGAAGUUUGUGUAAUAAGUGCAAAAGACAAUAUUCACAGUGACAAUGAUACUGUGAACUGCCAUAGGGAGAGUAGACAUGACUGUGGUGACAAUGCAGCGGCAGCAGGACCCUGUCCUCUCAUAAGUGGGCAUCCUUUCCCCAUGUGAACACCACAUAGCAGAAACGCCCAUCUUCCAAAGCCCUUUUAUCAUGUUAUGAAUUAUUUACACUUCCAUAUAUUUCAGUUAAAGAGUGGUAAUCAGAUCUGUAUGGAUGCCACUUGGGUCAUUUGUCAUUUCACUUGAAGGCAAAGAAAUGUUUUUAACUGGUAAGUACAACCUUAUCAUAAAAGUCUAUUUUCUGUAAGAAAUACUGAAAAUAUAUUAAAGACCUCCCUUAGUGCCCUUCAGGACACAUAAGAAUCCUAAUAUACCAGGUUGGGAACCAUUGCUAUAGGAUUUGAAAGGAAUAGUAAAUAGUAUUAUCUGAAAGUGAAGAGGAAGAAGAGAUUCUACUUAAAAAUAUUUGUUAAAUGACUGAAAGAAAUAAAUCUAUGAAGUCGUUUAGAACAUGGUCCUUUAGGGAAAGACCUGCCUGCUGUAGAUUCCAUUCACAUUUUAUACGUUUGUAAUGCCUUACAAAGCUAGUCUUUGCACUUAAAGCUACUGCUAACUGAGCAAUAGAAUCACACCUCAUAAGGCUUAAACUGUGUAUUUAAAGGUUUUGAUAGGGGAUCCAGAAAUCUGAGUGAAACCCUGGGUUCUGCAGGUACACAUGGCUCAUGUAUAAGGCAUUUGAAGGGCUUGUGGCCUUGAUGGGGAACACUGUCAACUCUGAUCCUGUUUGUCUGAGGUUACUUGGGGUACAAGAUGAAGACAGAAGGGCGUGCCUCCCUUCUGGAACCAUCACGGCCAGCAGCCGCAUGUUGGGCAGCUGCUGAUACUCAGGGUGCCCAGGCGGGAGAUGGUGAGAGGCCAGCCCUAGCCAAAUUCCUUGCUGCUGCCAGAGGAAGCAGUCUUGCCAUGUGUGUCCACAGGGAUAAGAUUAGCUGCCGAGGUGGAGCUGAUAUCUGAGCGAGGCUCUCGAGGACACAUUCUGGAUAGAUCUCCAUAUGGGAGUUGGAUGACUGCCACCAGCCAGUCUUGGCAGUCCCCAGAAUUCUUCUGAAGUGGACAGUGGAAGAAGUGAAACAUUUGCCUGGCAGCUGGCAUCAAUGCAGUCUCUCUCUGGACAUGCAGAAGAAAAGGUUCAAAAGGAACUGAACCCAAACCAGUCUUUAUUUGAUUUUAGAUGGAAUUAAAACAUUUUUGUGGGUCUCGACAAGUAUUGCCAGCACUGCACCUGCCACCCUGAUAGGUAAGUCAGCUCUGGAGAACUUAGAGAUACAGAGUGACAACCACUAAAAAUAUACAAAGAGAUUUGAUUAAAUAUUUAUAUCAAUGUGAGCCAAGGUAGGUACGUUAAAAUAGCAAUGAUUUGGUGUAGUGAUCAUGGAAAUUUCAUGAUUCAAGACAAAGGUGGUUUCUUUAGGGUGCUGGCAUAUACUUACUGAGUUUAGUGCUUACUAUAAGCUAGGCUGUUCUGAAUAAUAUAUUUAGGCUUUUAUUAAGUCCUCAUAAGGUACAUUCAAGUAUAUAAAGUACCUCCAAAUGUACUUUUAUUAUCCUCAAUCUACAGAUAAGGACAAGAGGCAGAGAGAGUUAAAUAACUUGCUAAAUAGUGUAGGGCCCAGGUUUUUAACCAUCCUGCUAAACUGAGGAAAGCUGCCUAGACUCGGUUUAUUAUGUGAAUGAAAACACUAUAUUCAUUCAUUCAUUGGUCAUUAUUUCUGUUCCUUAUUUCAGUUAUUAAUUACCAAUUUACUUUGUGUGUGUGAGAGACGGGUCUCGCUCUGUCACCCAGGCUGGAGUGCAGUGGUGCGAUUCCGGCUCACUGCAACCUCCACCUCCCGGGCUCAAGCGAUUCUGCCACCUCAGCCUCUGAAGUAGCUGGGACUGCAGAUGUGCGCCACCAUGCCCAGCUAAUUUUUGUACUUUUUGUAGAGACGAGGUUACGCCAUGUUGGCCAGGCUGGUCUCCAACUCCUGAACUCAACCUAUCCUCUCACUGCAGCCUCUCAAGGUGGUGGGAUUACAGGCAUGAGCCACUACACCCCACCUGUUAAUUGCGUCUUUAUCUCAGUAGGUUGAAGUAUAUUUAUACAGCCUCUGCUCUGUGUCAAGUACUGAGCUGAGCUCAGCAGUUGCAAUGGCAGGAACACAGACCCAGCCCUAUUCCUUAUAUGGCUGACUCUCUAGUGGGAAAUAUGGACAUUAAACAAACGACCACCUAAAUAUAACACUGCAAACUGGAGUUCAUGGCAUGAACCAUGGAAUGCUAUCAAAGCACUGGGAUCCCAAUCUAAUCUGGGCAUCAGAGAAAGCUUCCCUGAGGAAUUAAAAUUUGGAUGAGGUCUCAAUAAUUAGUUGAUGAAUUAGGCAAACAGUGGGAGCAAGGAUGUUCCAGGCAGAGGCCAACUACAUGGGUCAGGUGCACAGGACAUAAACCGAGCCAUCAAGAAGCUUCCAAUGUGAAAAGAGAAUAAACCCAUAGAGACAAGCAAUGAAGUGCUGCCAUGAGACAGAUGUGUGGAGCAUUUGAACAAUGGGAAAGUGCUGCUAGGAGAGAGGUGGUGUUCAAUUCAAUGAAAGCAAUGUAGGAUGAGAUCUGUAAGGAAGACUAGAUAAGCCAAGAGGCAUGCAGAGGAUCUUAUCCAUUUUAGAGCCCUGGGGGCUAUUUACUGGAGUAGCUGAAGAUAGCACCGUGGACACAGGCUGAAAAGGAAGGAAUUGCUAUGAGCUCCAUGUGAGGCAUCAUAGAUGAGACCUAUGGAGCUAUCCAAGAUCAUAUCCUGACACAGUGGUCAAAAUAAAGAAGCAAGUGUGAGCAGUGGUGAGGUGAUGGCUCAUUUAAAGAAAAGCCAUGCCCUGCAGACUGGUCCCAAGCUGGAGACCCCUUUCUCUAAUUGUCUGAAGAAUCCCUUUGGCAGGCUGUGUAAUACGCAUGACUCCAAUCUCUUGAAGUCUCUAGAUGGAGGCCACAUCCCAUUGCCUUUACAAAACAUCCUCUUUAUCCAUGGAUGUUGAUACUUGAGAACUUAACAGAAAGAACUUCAUUCCUUCUGUGAAGAUCAGUGAAGCUCAUAUUAUUAUCUGACUACAGAACUGCUCAAUGUUCAUCCCAAAAAAGUAAGACUCCCUUAAAUAUCUGCAUAAGAUUCAUUUUCUGUGUUUUAUUUUCCUAAUUUUCUUCAAAGAAGAUGUGUUACUUUUGUUAAUAAAAUAUUAAAAAUGUAAACCAUGGAAUCAGGGAAGGAAAAUGGCAGAUAGGAGGCAGGACUAAAUUACAGCUGACACUCAGAGGGACAGAGCAGCAUGUGGAGACUCACGUUGUGAAUUUUUGCUCCAGAACUACUACUGCAGGAUUAUACCAGGAAAGCCAAGAGAAUCCACAGACCCUCUGAAGGAAGUGGAUAGCUCCUGCAGGACCCAGGAGACAGCCCAAAUACUACACAGCAAGAAGGUGCAAUCUAUGAACCAGAAAGUGGGCCCUCACCAGACACUGAAUCAGCUGUUUGUGUCUAGUGUCUUGACCUUGGACUUCCCAGCCACCAGAACUGCCAGAAAUAAAUUUCUAUUUUUUAUUAGUUAAAAAAAAGUAAGCCAUGUAGAUUAUUCAUUAACAUAUGAAGCAAAAUGGAAUCAUAAAAAUGAAACAUUCAUUACAAUUUUUUGGAAACUGCUAUUUGUUUUGUUUUGUUUUUGAGACUAAGCCUCGCUGUGUUGCUCAGGCUGGAGUGCACUGGCUGUUCACAGAUGUGACCAUGGCACGCUGCAUCUCAAACUCCUGGCCUCAAGUGAUCCUCCUGCCUCAGUCUCCUGAAGAGUUGGGACUACAGGGGUGUACCACCACACCCAGCCUUGUUUGUUUUUGAAGAUAAGAUCCAUAUCUGAAUUUUUUAAAUCAGUGACUGAGCAACAUAAAACAUGAGGAUUUCCCAGAUUGCCCUUCUUUUGUUGAAAAUAUUAAAAAGUGAUCUUAAAUGUAUGGAUACAUAUAAAACACUAAGAUUUCUCCAUUUGGUUUAUGUACUUCAUAAUAGCUUGUGACAUGCUCAAAAUAACAUGAUUUUUUUCAAUUAUUUCUUUUGCUCUUUUAAAAAUCACAUUUUAUUGAAUUUAUUCAUUCAUUCAUUUUGAACACCUAACAUAUACUAACAAAUGUGCCAAGUCCAGAAGAUUCAAGGCUGAAUCAGAGGACAUCCUUGACUUUAAAAAGCUGACAGACUAGAAGAGCCAAGCCUACAUGAAAAUAAAUAAAUGCAAUACGGACCAAAAGCACAAUUAUCGAAAUAUGUGCAGGGUAGAGGUGCUGAGCAGUGGGAAGAUACAGAAUAACUAAUGCCUGUUAGCUGCUUCUGUAUGUAUGCCAGGUAGUGUUCUAAGUGCUUUACUUACAUAUAUUAGCUCAUCGCCAACCUGUGAUCGUUUCCAUUAUCAUAUUGUUACACUCAUUUUAUAGAUGAGGGACUGAGACAAAGAGUGGUUGCCUAGCUUGCCCAAAGUCACUCAGCUAUACUGAGUGGCAGAACCAGGAUUUAAAUAAUAUGAACUCUGUGCUCUCAACCUCUACACAUUUGCUGUCCAGACUGUCCAGCAGACUGUCUAGGAAGAAAUGCAAAGCACUUUAAGCAGAGAGGGCAGCUUGGGCAAGGGCACUAGUGCAGGAAAGACACAAGCACCUUGUGGAGUCAAGCAGAUAGGAUACCAGAAGGCUGAGGAAUAUGCCACAUCAUAGGGAGGCUUGGAUCAGUUUUGGUAGACAAUGAGAGGACAUUGAAGGAUUUUAGUCAGAGGAGUGAUGGGGCAGAUCUGUUUCUUAAAAAGAUUAUUUUGACUGUGUUAGGGAGGAUGUGCUGCAGAGGAUCUGGAUGCAGGUGGGGAAGGGAGGAUGUGUUGCAGGAGGAUGUGUUGCAGAGGGAGGAUGUGCUGCAGAGGGUCUGGAUGCAGGUGGGGGAACCCCCUUUAGAGACGACUUCUCCCAGGUAAGAAAAGGCUGUAGCAGUGGAGUUGGAGAGAGAAGAAUGGACCAGAGCUAUUUUAAGGAAGACUAGGCCAGUGCUGGUUUUGAUUAGUGGAUGUCAAACUUAGUGGUCGUUUGGUAUUUUUACACGAAACCUUCAACAGAAUCAACAGUGUGCUUCAUGAAGGCAGAGCCCAGAUUUGUUUUUCUCGCCGUUGUACUCCCAAGACUUGGUAAUGUGCUCAGGAAAUGCUUAUUGAUUGAAUGAGUUAAUGAAUAAGUGAAUAAACCAAGAAGUAAAUAAAAAAAAGAAUGAAUCAAAGAAAUGACUCAGUAUUGGAUUAGACCAAGUGCAUAAGAGAAGAAGUUAAUGGACUCUCAAAUGACUUGCCGAAAAGAUUAAGUCAAUUUCUCUUUUCUUAUGCAAUACAUUUUGUGUCCAGGCCUUUCUUAUGAGUAUUGUGUGUGGAACAUAAAGCAACCAACUUAGCUCCACGAUUUAGCUAUUGGGAGACCCAUGAAAGAGCCUACCCAGCCCUGCCUGCCUCUGGGGGUCUCGGUCAUGUCAUGUGACUACAUCGCUUGGCUCUGUUUCCAAGUUCCCCACCUCUAACCUCUCUGGAGCUCACAUUCAUCUUUCAAAAACAUCACUUCUGUUAUAUCACCCAUCACUCACUCCCUUCACUACACAUCUCUUUGCCCUGCUUUAGUUUUCAUCUGAGCACUUACUGUUUCCUGACAUUAUGUCAUUCAUUCAUUCAUUCAUUUAUUCAUUUUAUUUGGUUCUAUCUCUCUGUUAGUUUCCUAUUGCUGCAGUAGCAAAUUACCAUAAACUUAGUGGCUGAAAACAGAUUUAUCUUGCAGUUCUUGAGGACAGAAAUCUGAAAUGGGCCUCACUGAGAUAAAGUCACUGUGGCCAGGGCUGCAUUAUUUCUGGAAGCUCCAGGGGACAAUCUGUUUCCUUACCUCUUUCAGCUUCUAGAGGCUGCCCUCAUUUCUUAUUUUGUGGACCCCUUUGAUCUUUAAAGCCAGCAAAGGCAGCUUGAGUCUUUCUCAUGAUGCUGUCUCUCUGGUCUCACUCUUCUGCCUUCCGCUUCCCCAUUCAAGGACUCUUGUGAUUAUAUUGGGCUUGCCUAGAUAAAGCAGGAUAAUCUUAUUUUAAGGUCAGCUGAUUAGCAACUUUAAUUCUAGCUGCAAUUUUAAUUCCCCCUUGCCAUGUAACAACAUAUUUAUAGAUUACAAGGAUUAGGAUGUGGAUGUAUUUUUUUUUUUUUUUUUUGAGACGGUGUCUUGCUCUGUCACCCAGGCUGGAGUGCAGUGGCACAAUCUCGGCUCACUGAAACCUCCACCUCCCGAGUUCAAGCAAUUCUCCUGCCUCAGUCUCCCAAGUAGCUGGGAUUACAGGCAUGCGCCACCAAACCCAGCUAAUUUUUGUAUUUUUAGUAGAGACAGGGUUUCACCAUGUUGGCAGGCUGAUCUUGAACUCCUGACCUUGUGAUCCACCCGCCUCGGCCUCCCAAAGUGCUGGGAUUACAGGCAUGAGCCACCGCACCUGGCCCAGGAUAUGGAUGUCUUUGAGGGGCCAUUUCCUGCUUAGCACAAUCUGCCUCUUAUAGAAUUUAAGUCUCUUGAGAGCAAAACUUUAUCUACUUUGCUCUCUACAGUACAGCCAUUGAUUAGAAGAGGGCCAGUAUAUUGUAAGCAUGCAGUAAAUAUGUUUUGAAUAAAUCAGCAAAUCUUGUCCUUCUUUUUCACAAUCCAUCUCAUACCAAGGCAGAAUAAUUUUCCUUCAUAUCAGCAUGGAUCAUAAUAUACUCUUUGAUAUGGUUUGGCUGUAUUCCCACCCAAAUCUUAUCUUGAAUUGUAGUUCCCAUAAUCCCCAUAUGUCAUGGGAGAGAGCCGGUGGGAGGUAAUGAAUCAUGAGAGAGGUUACCCUCAUGCUGCUGUUCUCAUAAUAGUGAGUGAGUUCUUACAAGAUCUGACGAUUUUAUAAGGGGCUUCCCACCUUUUGCUCUGCACUUCUCUUUCCUGCUGCCAUGUGAAGAAGUACGUGUUUGCUUCCCCUUCUGCCAUGAUUGUAAGUUUCCUGAGGCCUCCCCAGCACUGUGGAACUGUGAGUC